UCUCGGUCACCGGAGGUCUAGGGGCCUGAGUCAGGAAAGAAAAAUGUGAUGCUACUCUUGGUUAUGGUUCUUCCUCAUCGCUACCACUUUUGCUGAGAACCCCUUAGGGCAUAUUGGGUGGAGCUGUGCACACAGCAAGUGCUAAAUAAAUGUUCCCUGAAUAGUGUGCUGGCGGUGCCUCGGGCUCUUGGCUGCCUGAGCUGCGGGUCUGGACAGUAAAAAUAGUAACAAUAAGGGACAUUUUAUUGAGCACCAGCCACUAUACAUCCAGCCUCCACGUGAAGCUGCGAUAUUAUUCCCAUUUUCCAACGGAACAAACCACAGCUCAGAGAGACCAUUCCUCCAUGCUUACUCCGCAGCGCCAGUGUCUCAGCUCACAAUGAAGGGAGCAAAGUGUCGCCUCUGAAUCUGUUACAGAGGCUUUUCUUAGAAGGCCAGGGGGCUGAAGGCAAAGCUGGAGUGGCAGAUUCCACACUGAACUUGAUAUCUUGCUCUCCAAAGAUUAAGAGACUGAAGCUCAGAGAGGUGAAUCACCUGCUGGAGGUCACACAGCCAGGAAGAGGUGGAGCCUGGAUCUCCUGUCCCUGGGCCCUUUGGAGCAGGUGGGCCUCCAAAGAUACACUCUGCUGAGUUCCUGCCGGGUGAGGAGGACUGUGGAUCUGUGCACAACCCUCUCCCUGGGCCCCAGGAACACCAAGAGCCCAGGUCCUACCAGCCAGGCAGCCUUGUGCCUGCCAGCCCUGCCAGCUUCUCUGGGCCAGAUCCAUCACCCCAGCACCAACCAUGCCCUGGGCCUGACUCCAUCCAUCCGGCAUCGACUGUGCUUGGGCACAUUCCUGAGGCGCUGAAUAAUUCAGCUGUAGGAGGUUGCUGCUGAUGGCUCCCAGCUGCCCCUUCGCUGGGGAUGAGCUCACAGCCAAACGAGGGCCAUGCCCCGCAAGGCCGCCCCACACUGCACGACCUGAGCAGACUGUGGCCAGUGACCGGCUGAUGUGGUGCAAAAGGCCACCCCAAGCCUCAAGGUAGGAUGAACUCUGUGAUGCUGUUCAAGCUCCAGAAGUCUCGGUGGGACCAGGCUGUGGCUCGGCCCCAGCUGAGACCACUUUCUGGCUCAGCCUUUACCCCUUCCCCAUCCUGUCUCCUCACUCUCCUUCUCAGAGCCUUUCCCUGUAAAUCAUCUGAGUGCAAACCCCCAACCCAGGCUCUGCUUCUGGGGAACCCUCCUGAGAUAGCUGCAUUUCCUGGUCUGAGCCUUUCUUUCUUAGGUCUCCUUUCUGAGUGCUAAGAGAGGCUCAGAAGCAGUCCUUGGCUCUGGCUCUGCCGUAUGAUGGUGAGGAAGUCAUUUCUCCACCCUGGGCCUCCAUUUCUUUGUACGGCUGGGGUGAGAGGGUGGCCCUCUCUCAGGACUCGUCCAGCUCUGAAGGUCUGUGAUACAACCUGAGAUGCCAGGAAGCCUUCUCCUCCCCUACCUAGCCCUGCAUGUACGUGAAAUCCUGCUGUUGGGGUCUCUUCUCUGAAGGCUUUUUCAAAAUGCAAAGACAUAUGAGAUUAGAAUGAGUUUCAUAUUAGGUGAUCAUGCUGCAGGGCAGAAUUUCUCAGGGUAGGAUGCUUGGAUUAUCUGAGUCCAUCACCUGAAGAGGUGCUUAUUUUUACUAUAUCUCUUCCCUUCUUCAUAAUUUUUUUUUGAAUAUGGUAUGUGAUGUCUGGAGCUGCAGCAGCUAUCUUUCAGUCAUGAAGAAACAGCAUGAGGUGUUAACAACAAGCUAUGGGUGGUGAAGCAGAAAUAUAGAAAGAAACUGGUUUUCAAUAGUAUUUCUGAGUCAUUGCACAAAACCUGAAAACUGUCUCUAAAUCUCAGGACAUAAAAUAAUUAAGUAUCUUUAUUGCUCAAGCAAGCCCUGGUUAACUUCCUGUUAUUUGCAGGGCAAAACAUUCCAAACAAAUCAACAGCCUUUUUAAAAUUUAAAAAAUUUUAAAAUUUAAGUAUAGUUGACUUACAGUGUUGUCUUAAUUUCUGCUGUACAUACAGCAAAGUGAUUCAGUUAUACAUAAUACAUAGAUUUAAAAAAAUAUUCAUUUCCAUUAUGGUUUAUCACAGGACAUUGAAUAUAGUUCUCUGAGCUAUACAGUAGGAUCUUGUUGUUAUCCCCUCCAUGUAUAAUAGCUUACAUCUGCCAACCCCAACCCCCCACUCCAUCCUUCUCCCAACCCCCUUCCCCUUGGCAACCAGAAGUCUGUUCUUCUGGUCUGUGAGUCUGUUUCUAUUUUGUAAAUAGGUACAUUUGUGUCAUAUUUUAGAAUUCACAAAUAAGUGAUACCAUAUGGUAUUUGUCUUUUUAACUUCACUUAGUUGGAGAAUCUCUAGUUCCAUCCAUGUUGCUGCAAAUGGCAUUAUUUCAUUCUUUAUUAUGGCUGAGUAGUAUUCCAUUGUGUAUAUAUACCACAUCUUCUGUAUCCAUUCAUCUGUUGACAUUUAGGUUGUUUCCAUGUCUCGGCUGUUGUGAAUAGUGCUGCUUUGAACACAGGGGUGCAUGUAUCUUUCUGAAUUACAGUUUUGUUUGGAUAUAUGCCCAGAAGUGGGAUUGCUAGAUCAUAUUGUAGUUCUAUAUUUAGAUUUUGAAGGAACCUCCAUACUGCUUUCCAUAGUGGUUAUACCAAUUUACAUUCCCACCAUUAAUGUAGGAGGGUUCUCUUUUCUCCACACCCUCUCCAGCAUUUUUUAAAAUAGAUUUAUUGAUGAUGGCCAUUCUGUCCAGUGUGAAGUGAUACCUCAUUAUAGUUUUGAUUUACACUGCUCUAAAGUGAUGUUGAGCUCUUUUUUUCCCCUUUUCUUUUUAUGGCUGCAUAUGUGGUGUGUGGAAGUUCCUGGGCUAGGGGUUGAAUCAGAGCUGUAGCUGCAGGCCUAUGCCACAGCUAUAGUGACACUGGAUCUGAGCUGUAUAUGCAACCUAUGCCACAGCUUGUGGCAAUGCUGGAUCCUUAACCCACUGAGCAAGGCCAGGGAUUGAACCCACAUCCUCACUGAGACUAGUUGGGUCUUAACCCUCUGGUCUACAAUGGGAACUCCAUUUUUUCAUGUGUCAAUUGGCCUUCUGUAUGUCUUCUUUAGAGAAGUGUCUGUUUUGUUCUUCUGUCCAUUUUUUCUAUUGAGUUUUUUUUUUUUUUUGGAUACUGAGUUAUAUGAGCUGUUUGUAUAUUUUGGAAAUUAAGCCCUUGUUGGUUGCUUCAUUUGCAAAGCAUUCUGUAGAUUGUCUUUUUGUUUUAUGAUUUCCUUUGCUGUACAAAAGCUCGUAGGUUUAAGUCCCAUUUGCUUAUUUUUGUUUUUAUUUCUGUUGCCUUGGGAGACAAAUCAAGCCUUUAUCUUGUUGAGUCAUAAUAAAAAUCUUUUAAAGUAGGGAUUAUUAUUUUUGGCUCAGAGAGGUUAACUGACAUAGCUAAGAUCAUGUAGCUGGCAAGUGGGAGUAUGCUUUUGGGAUGGAAUUUUCAGGUUGGGAGGAACUUUGGUUAUUUUGAUUUGUUUUGUUUAUUUGUUUGUUUGUCUUUUUAGGGCUGCACCUGCAGCAUAUGGAGGUUCUCAGGCCAGGGGUUGAAUCAGAGCUGUGGCUGCUAGCCUAAGGCACAGCCACAGCAACGCCAGAUCUGAGUCGUGUAUGCAACCUACACCAGAGCUCAUGGCAAUGCUGGAUCCUUAACCCACUGAGCGAGGCCAGGGAUCAAACCUGCAUCCUCAUGGAUACUAGUUGGAUUCGUUUCCGUUGAGCCACGAUGGGAACUUCAGAACUUUGAUUAUUGAUGAGUAUUUAAUUCCUGUCUUCACUGCAUGUGUCCUAGUGUAUUUUGACCACUGGGAGUAGAUCCCCUCUCUUGCCACUCUGGCCUUUGGUCAUUCUUUCCUUAUCUAUCCCACUCUAGGUCUCAGCUUAGUGACUUGGGAAAGGUCCCUGGUGGAGUGAGGAGAAGGAGGUGGCAGGUAUUCACUGUAUAUUCCUUCAUGGGGUUUUCUGAAUGAGUGUGAGCAGAUUCAAGGGGAAAAUUAAAUCAUUUUGGAGAUGAUUCUGGCCUCUAAACAGUACUUGGCCCCUGUGGGAGGUUAGAGUGAAAGAGAGAAAGAUUUUAGAGACAAAAAUAGACAGAGGGAUGGAAGGAGAGGGUGAGAGAAGCAGAAGUUGAGGAGGAGGAGGGCAAAAGGAAGGGAGAAGAGAAGGAUGCCUUGGCUUGUAGAUCAUCCCUCCAGCCUCUGCCUGCAUCUUCACAUUGUGUUCUCCCUGUGUCUUUGUUUCCAAAUCUCCCCCUUACAAAGGACACCAUCACAUUUGAUUAGUGGCUCCUGAACUCCAGUAUUACCUCAUCUCAACUAAUUGCAUCUUCAAUGACCCUGUUUCUCAAAUAAGAUGACAUUCUGGAGUCAAGGGUUAGGACUUUAACUUAUCUUUUGGGGGGGACAUAAUUCAACCCAUAAUAUAUAGUUAUCAUUUUUAGCCAUGGUUUGCAAGUGAUUUGUUAUGCUGCAGUAGUUACUCAGAACAUCGCAAUUAAGGAGUGGUUAGGGAAGCAAGUAAAACAUCAGUGGAAAUGUUGUUUACCAGAACAUCCCUCUAGGAGGCUACUGUAUGUGGUUGCAAUAAUUGAUUUUCUAAAUAGCUUGGGAUUGGGGGUGGGGGCUGGAUCCUCCCUGCAAAAGGUUAUGUUCCAGUAAUAACAUGUGCUUGAAUAAUGACAGACGUUUUCCCUAAUGCCUUCUAAGGUAGGCAAAGAGCUGAGUUUUGCUUUGUAAGGUAUUCCUUCCCCUUAAAUAAAUGUUGAAUAUUUACUUAAAGAGAAUCAAUGUGAGUAUUAGAGUGUUCCUGCCCUCCAUAUAUCUCAGCAUGGUCAUGUUUAUUAACACCUAUGUCAUCAUAUCACUGAUGAACUGUGGGCUGCAGUUGCCUGGUUAAGUGUCUGAUUUCUCCAUAGACUGUAAGCAACCCUGAGAGCAGGGAUAAGCUCUUUCUUGCUCUCCCCUGAAUCUGAAGUGCAGCUUUUGGCACAUAGUAGGUGCUUAAUGGUUAGUCUCUGAAACUAUGGAUAUUGGAAAAAGAACAAAGUGAUUUAAAAUCUAUAUGGUGAUGAAAGGUUUACAGAUAUAUCAGCUACAAAACAUCUAAGGAUGCUAGAAAAAAUAUUUUUGAAAUUCUCUUCUGUUAAUGGAACAGUCUCUAAGAAAAAAAGGGAAUUGUGAGAGGUCAGGAACAAAUUGUAAACAUCAGUCCAGGGAAGUAAAUGUUUCUGAAACUGCUGUACAUAUUGAAGACUUCUACCUUGUUGGGCAGCCUAACGUUCCAUACCUUGAGCUUCCAUGGCACAAGAAAGACAAGGAAGAAGCAAGGGAUCAUAAACAUGACCAGGCAGUUUUGACAAAGAACAAAACAGAGGUUCUAGGAAUUUAAAUAUAUCACAUAUGAAAUUAAAAACUCAAUGGAAUGGUUAAAUAGAAUAGACACAGAUGGAGAGGGAAUUAGUAAACUGGAAGAUAGAUCCAGGAAAAAUGAAAAUACAAAGAAGGAAGGAAAAAUGAAGAUGUGAAGAAGAGGUUAAGUGACAUAGAUGAUGGAAUGUUAAGCUCUAAUAUAUGUCUAAUCAGAUUUUUGGAAAGCAAUUGUAGGAAUAAUGAGAGAGAUGUAAUAUUUGAAGAGAUAGUGGCCGAGAAUUUUCUAUGAUUAUUAAAAAAAAAUGAAUCUUCAGAUUCAGGAAUUCAAAUGAAUCCCUAAAAGGAUAAAUAAAAAGAAGUCCAUAUACAGAUACAUCAUAUCAAAUGGAAUAUCAAAGGCAAAGAAAUGAUCUUAAAAAUACCAGGAAGAAAAUAAAUUUUUGUUGUUUACAACUUCUAUAAUUAAAGGAAAUUAAUCUAAUGGUGAUUAGUUAUAAUGGUAUGAAUAAUAACCAUGAAUGACAGAAUAAUGACUUUAAAGGACUUUUAAAAAGUCAUACCAACUAGGGCCUGCAUAUCCCAGUCCCUAAUAAGACUGAAUAAUUUCUUAAAAGAUAAUUUAUCUUUUAAGAGUAAGUAUAGGAGUGUCCGCUGUGGCACAUUGCUUGGUUAAGGAUCUGGCAUUCCUGCAGCUAUGGCUUAAGUCGUAGCUGCAGCUCACAUUCUAUCCCUGGCUCAAGAACUUUCAUUUGUAAAAAGAGUUAAAACAGAUUCUAGGUAUGUACUAAAGAGAAUUGAAAACAUAUGUCCAUGCAAAAACUUGUACACAAAUGUUCACAGCAGCAUUAUUUAUGAUAGUGAGAAAGUGGAAACAACCCAUAUGUCUACCAACUUAUGAACAGAUAAACAAAAUAUGGUAUAGCCAUACAGUAGAGUAUUACUUGCCAUAAAAAGGAAUAAAGUUCUGAUUUUGGCAACAACAUGGAUGAACCUUGAAAACAUUAAGCUAAGCAAAAGAAGCUAGACACCAAGGUCACAAAUUGUAUGAUUUCAUUUAUAUAAAACAUAAUAGGCACAUCCAUAGAGAGAGAAGGUAGAUUUGCGGCUGCCAGAGGCUGGAGUGGAAUGUGCAGUGACAGCUAAUGGGCGUGGGGUUUCUUUUUUGAGUGGUGAAAUAUUAUAGAAUUAGAUAGUGGUGAUGUUUAUAAAACCUUAUACAUAUACUAAGUGGAGUUCCCUGGUGGUCUAGUAGUUAGUAGUUAGGAUUUAGUGCUUUCAGCACUGCAGCCUCAGUUCAAUCCUGGUCUGGAAACUGAGAUCCCAUAUUAAGCUGCUGUAUGCUGAAGCGCCCCCCCCCCCAAAAAAAAAAAUUCCCUGGUGGCUCAGUGGGUUAAGACUCUGGUAUUGUCACUGUUGUGAGACAGGUUUGAUUCCUGGCUUGCUGUGGACGUGGUCAAAAAAAUAAAAGAAAAAAA
rnacentral:lncRNA from 1 species